UUCACGUGCAACUGUUUAAAUUGGUUGUGUCAUGCAAGGGUUUUGAGAACUGUCUUGACUAAAGAAAUAGUUUGAUUGCCUUGUCAGCAAGAGAGGUGCCUGCAGCCUAGGCGGCAACCAUGCUAUCUUGCACAGACACAAAAAGCCUUUUGGAAGGUUGUGUCUUUGUUGAAGACGAUGUUUAGCAUUUUAGCAUUCAAGACUCUUCAGACACGGAUUGCGAGAACGCCCGGCCUGAGAAAUUGACACAAGAUUGAGCGGAGGUGAAUGCACCUGCUUAAGUUGAGGAAGGCAGAUCACCAAAGAAGGCGGGGGUCCUGUGAUGAGGAUGGGGUGAGUAACUGGGCCUGACUGGUUUGAUGAAGCCCCAUCUGUACUGGGCAUUUUCCAUGCCAGAUGACAAUUUAUUUUAUUUUUUAAGUUCGGCACUGACAUUUCUUAGCGACUCUCCUACAUAGGUUGGGAGAAGCUAAGAAGAAAGCCAGAAUAAACUCUACAUUCAUCACGUGCACUUUAGUAAGGGCAAGAUCAGCCCCUCGAUCAUUUCAGUUUCCCUCUGCUGCACCGAUUGCAGCUCUACAGUAUUCCUUUUUUUUUUGCAGAACGAUAAAGAGUAGGUAUCCCAACUGUGGUCAUCCCAUAAUCCAGAGUGGCACCACUCCGGCCCUCCUGUAGAUGUUUGACUACAAUUCCCAUGAUCCCUGACUACCGGCCACUGUGGAAGUCAUCCUAACUUUUUUUUUAAUUUUUUUUAUUUUUGCAUUUUUAUACCGCCUUUCGUUAAAAUAUAGCCCCAAGGCGGUUUACAAAAGUUAAAAACAUACAAUAAAAACACAAUAAAAACAACAUGCUAAGAGUAUAAAAACAUAUAAAAACAGGCAUAAAACAAUACAAGAAAUAAAAACACCCAGAAGCAGCAGUAAAAACGAUUAUGUAAAAGCCUGGGUAAAAAGCCAAGUCUUUACAAGCUUUCUAAAAGCCAUGAUGGAGUCCGAGGAGCGAAUGACCACUGGGAGAGCAUUCCAGAGUUUGGGGGCAGCAACAGAGAAGGCCCUGUCCCGAGUGUACGACAGCCGGGCCUCUCUCAUUGUCGGCACCCGGAGCAGGGCCCCCUCAGAUGUCCUCGUCAAGCGGGCAGCAACCCUUGGGAGCAGGCGGUCCCUCAAAUACCCUGGGCCCAAACCAUUUAGGGCUUUAAAGGUCAAAACCAGCACCUUGAAUUGGACCCGGAAACGAACCGGUAGCCAGUGCAGCUCUUUCAAAAUGGGGGUGAUAUGUUCCCAACGGGCAGCUCUGGAUAACACCCUCGCUGCCGCGUUUUGCACUAGCUGCAGUUUCCGGAUAUUCUUCAAGGGCAGCCCCACGUAGAGCGCGUUACAGUAAUCCAGCCGCGACGUGACUAAGGCGUGGGUAACUGUGGCCAGAUCUGCCCUCUCGAGAAAGGGACGCAGCUGGCGCACCAGCCGAAGCCGUGCAAAGGCACCCCUGGCCACCGCCUCCACCUGAGCUUCCAAGAGCAGAGCUGGGUCCAGUAGUACCCCCAAGCUGCGUACUUGUUCCUUCAAGGGGAGUGCAACCCCAUCCAGAACUGGUAAAAUCUCCACAUCCCGAUUGGCUCUCCUACUGACCAACAGCACCUCCGUCUUAUCCGGAUUCAAUUUCAGUUUGUUAGCCCACAUCCAACCCAUCACGGCCUCCAGUCCCCGGUUCAGGACAUCCACCGCCUCCCUAGGAUCAGAUGACAAGGAGAGAUAGAGCUGAGUGUCAUCCGCAUAUUGCUGACAACUCAGUCCAAAUCCCCGGAUGACCUCUCCCAGCGGCUUCAUGUAGAUGUUAAACAGCAUGGGGGACAAGACCGAACCCUGCGGGACCCCACAGGCCAACGGCCACGGGGCCGAGCAGUAGUCCCCCAGCACCACCUUCUGGACCCUCCCCUCAAGAAAGGACCGGAACCACUGCAAUGCAGUGCCUCCGAUUCCCAUACUCGAGAGGCGGCCCAGAAGGAUACCAUGGUCGAUGGUAUCGAACGCCGCCGAGAGGUCCAGCAGAACCAACAGGGUUCUAGUUCCCGGCGUAGGUCAUCCACUAGAGCGACCAAGGCAGUCUCAGUCCCAUACCCGGGGCGGAAGCCAGAUUGAAAAGGGUCCACAUAAUCCGUAUCAUCCAAGACCCUCUGCAGCUGGGACGCCACCACACGCUCCAUCACCUUGCCCAAAAAGGGCAGGUUAGACACAGGUCUAUAGUUGUCCAUGCUGGAGGGAUCAAGGGAGGGCUUUUUUAAUAGAGGUCUUACCACCGCCUCCUUAAGGCACGAUGGCAUCCUGCCCUCCCUUAAUGAAGCAUUAACCAUCACCUCCAGCCAUCUGCCUGUCCCCUCCCUGGAAGCUUUUAUUAGCCAUGAAGGGCAAGGGUCAAGAGCGCACGAAGUCGCCCGCACACUGCCCAGGAUCUUGUCCACAUCCUCAGGCCGCACCAACCGAAAAGAAUCCAACACAACGGGACCAGAUGGUGCCAAAGGCACGUCUGCCGGAACUGCCAAAACUCUGGAGUCCAGGUCAGCACGGAUGCAAGCGACUUUAUCUGCAAAGUGACAGGCAAACCGAUCACAAAGAGCUGUAGAUGGCUCCUCCCCCAUUGUCCGGGGGGAUGUGUGGAGCAAUGUUUUCACCACACGAAACAGCUCUGUUUGCCUGCACUGAGCAGACGCAAUGGAGGCGGAGAAAAAACGUUUCUUCGCCGCCCCCACCGCCACGGCGUAGUCCCUAAAAUGGGUUCUAGCCCGUGUUCGAUCAGAUUCGUGACGACUCUUCCUCCAGCGUCGCUCCAGCCGUCGUCCGAGUUGCUUCAUCGCCCUAAGCUCCGAGGAAAACCAAGGAGCAGAACGGGCUCCACUAAGCCGGAGAGGGCGCUUGGGGGCAACCGUGUCAACAGCCCGGGCCAUCUCUCCAUUCCAGAGAUCAACCAAGGCGUCGACAGGGUCACCAGCUCUGGACACUGGAAACUCCCCGAGGGCCGUCUGGAAUCCAAGCGGAUCCAUAAGCCUCCGGGGGCGGACCAUCUUAAUCGGCCCACCACCCCUGCAGAGGGCAGACGGAGCAGUCAAACUAAACCCCACCAGGUGAUGAUCUGUCCAUGACAAGGGAGUGGUCUCAAAUUCCCCCACCUCCAGAUCAUUUAUUUCCCGGUCGGCAAAAACCAGAUCCAGAGUGUGUCCCGCCACGUGGGUAGGGCCCGAUACCAAUUGAGACAGGCCCAUGGUUGCCAUGGAGGCCAUGAAAUCCUGAGCCGCACCCACUAGGGGGGCCUCAGCGUGGACAUUGAAAUCCCCCAAAACAAUAAGCCUGGAGGAACCCAAGGCCACCUCCGAGACCACCCCCGCCAGCUCAGGUAGGGAGACUGAAGUGCAGCGGGGUGGUCGGUACACCAGCAGAAUCCCCAGCCUAUCUCGGAGGCCCACCCUCAAGGACAAACACUCAAAAUUCUGAGAUUGCCUGACCGGGCACCUGGAAACAGGGAGGGUCUCUCGAAAGAUGACUGCAACGCCUCCUCCCCGACCCUCGAGGCGGGGCUGCUGCACGAUCUGGAAACCUGGAGGACAAAGCUGAGAGAGACCGACCCCGCCCAGCGGAUCCAACCAGGUCUCCGUCACACAUACCAGGUCAGCACGCUCAUCCACAAUCAGAUCGUGGAUGAGAGAUGUUUUUGCGUUAACUGACCUGGCAUUCAGCAGCAGCACCCUAAUCCUCGAAGGAGUGUUCCCAGAGCUCCCUAGGGUCAGAGGGUUGGGAGAAGGGCCAGAAAAAGGAACAGGCCUCAAUUGCCUGGACCGUUUUCCCCUGUAACGGCCUGCCCAACUCCCACCGCCAUACCUCCCUCUGCCCGCUACCUGUGAUAUUGCCGCCCCCGCUCCAGACCCACUUUUUUGCUCCCCCAGACACAUCUCCCCAGACUAACCCACCACGGCUUCUUGGCUUAAUUAAAAAACAAAACAAAAACAAAACUUCAACUGACUUGGAUGUAUGUCUUUCUGCAUUAACUUGAAUUUUUUUCCAAGCUAUUCCAACCAGAGAUGCACAUUCCUAGUUGUCAGCAUCGCCAGAGGUUUCCAGAGGCCUCUCCUUUUUAAAGGUAGCUUGCUUGUUAAAAUCGCUAUGGAUCUCUUCUCUGUGGGAUGCUGAUGGAGAUGCUUCUCCCCAAAUAAAACCAUAAACCAUGCAUUCGCUUCACAGUGGGUGGGAGGUUGCAGGACAGAUAGGUCCCAACCUGCAUGAGGUCUCACUUUUAUUGUUGCAGACUUCUGCUGCUUGGUCAGAAUUUUAGAUCUGGAAAACAGUGUUGGAGAGAAGGACAGUGCACUCCAUCCAUCGGAGCUCUUUUUAUCUCAAAGGUAUUAUCCUUAUUAUUGUUAUUGCUGUUGUUGUUGUUACUGCAACUUUUAAGAGUGACGCAUGCAUGCCAUAUCUCUGUUUCUCUGUCCUGAUCCGAUCAAUCAAUUCUGUUCAGUGAUUCUUUUCUAUUUAGCGGAUUGGGGGGAGCAACUGUCCCCCUCCCGGGGUUGUUGCUGGGGUCUACCAUCUUCCUUUUUAGAUUGCGAGCCCUUUGGGAGCCGUCUUUCAUAUUUUAUCUACAUAAACUGCUUGGAGAACCUGUGCUGAAGAUUUGUCCUAAUAGCAAGUAUGGCAGUGAAUGACUGCAAAUAUCAGGUCGGAUUAGGAACUCCAGAUGCCAGUCCGGGCUCUUGCAGUCCCUUCAAAAGUAACCUGGAAAUUGUACUCUCAGAGUGAAUGCAGAAGAAAAGUGAUGUAACAUCAGAGAAUCGCUGGGGAAGUGAUGUGAAACUGAGGUAAUCUUCUGCCUUCUUUUUCAAAUGGUAAGUGAAAUAAAAGGCAAAAAGUAAGAAAUAUCUUACAUAAAAGAUGCAUGGGUGAGCAGGCAUUUGGGCAAAUGGAACCAUCCCCCCCGCAGCCCCCCAGCCCCAAUCAGUGACAAAAUGUGGAGCCCCACCACCACAUGGAGCUCUAAAAUGGGUCGGGAAUUCCCGGAUGGUGUUGGGGAACUCUGACUCAAUGUAGGCUUCCCAACGUCGGGGUUGGCUGAUCCCCGACACCCUCCAACGUGGCCCAUCUCAGGCCAUGUCCAACACAACUGAUGCAGACUUGAACAGCCGUAUAUUAAGCACCUUCUCUCUUUUUGUUCCGAUUCUGCCCCCAAACUGAGCUGAACAGACCCAAGCCCAGAGAUGGAAGGGGAGCUGAAAAGGCUGGAGAACAGCAGAGACGCUCUCAAGGCUGGCUUCUACGAAUCCUUCGGUGGACUGCAUCCUCCCCAUGACUCUGAUGACAGUAGCAAUGGGCCGAGAGAGAACCUACAUUACGUGUUCAGGACUACAGAAAUCCCCCUCCCCUUGGCCUCGUGCAAAGGGGAGGGAGUUUGUCUCAGCCCCGCUCUGCACGAGGCCCAAGAAGCGGGCCGAUUGGCCCUUUGGGUCAGGGGGCGGGGUUUUGCCGGGAUGAUCCCCGCCCCGUGCUCCUCAGUUUGGGACAGGCAUUCCCCUCCCUCCCUCCCUGGUAUAGAGCGGGUCUAGCGACUGGUCGCCCAACGGGGCCGAGUAGGAAUUUUUGGCUCCCAAAGCAUUGGCCACUGUUGGGGUUUUUUUUCGCCUACUCCGUUCUGUGUUCCAGGUGUAUAGUUAGAGUUAGGCCGGUCACAAUGGCAGUAACAGUGCGGGCGGGGUGGUAAUUCGAGGAUUAGAACAUCGGUGAGCACCCUUGGAUAUUUAAACGGGUGACUGGUCAAUCGCUCCUUUGUGGCCUGUGCGGCACGGGGAGAAUGGAUUGCCAUGAAACCUGCUUCAGGACUUCACCAACCUUUGGGCUGAGCGGUCCGGGGUGGGCGAAGACCUUGAAGUAUCCAGAUCCUCUCUUACGAAAGGGGGGGUUUGGCUUUGAAGGAAUUGGGCGGGGCGUACCUGCCCGUUUCCCGAGCCAGGGUGUGUCGCCCAGUAAGGUGCUGGGUAGGACGUCAGAGUUCUAACCCGGUCCUCUUGGCCCGCACUGUUCUCUAAGGGUGAUUAAUCACCUGGUGUUCCAGUUCGCCAUGUCUUUUGUUACAGUUAAUAAAGUUGUGGCCCUUUUACCCAUA